GGGUAGGGGAGGGGCCAGAAAGUGAAGCAUUUCCGAGGUGCCCACUGAACAACAGUCGCUUUCCCUCAGCAAGAAAAAGCCCCCUUUGCCCUUGGGUUUGUUAUUGCAAGAAGCUACUCUUACUUGGCCCUGCCCUUAGCUCACUCUGACCCUCCAGGGAGCCCUGGAGGCUGAAUCUGGCAGGCACAGUAAAUCCACUGGGCAGCCUGAAGACCCCGGUGGAGGUGGAACUGGCCCAGCGUCGGAAUGCAGGCACUCCACCUUCAGCACCGCAACCCGCGCAGCUACCGGGUCAAGGCCAGGGCAUCCUAUGUGGAUGAGACCCUGUUUGGCAGCCCAACAGGAACCCGGCCAACUCUACCAGACUUUGACCCACCCUGGGUGCAGAAUUGUAACAGAUCUAGAGGAGUGAGCCCAGGACCCCCGAAGGUCUCUCUGGCCAAGAGAGACUGUGAGUCUCCCUCCUCCAGGGGCAGCACCCCAAAUCUCACACCAAGGAAGAAAAACAAAUACA
rnacentral:lncRNA from 1 species